rnacentral:rRNA from 1 species
AGAGUUUGAUCAUGGCUCAGAACGAACGCUGGCGGCAGGCUUAACACAUGCAAGUCGAGCGCCUCGCAAGAGGAGCGGCAGACGGGUGAGUAACGCGUGGGAAUCUACCCAUCCUUACGGAACAACUCCGGGAAACUGGAGCUAAUACCGUAUACGCCCUUCGGGGGAAAGAUUUAUCGAGGAUGGAUGAGCCCGCGUUGGAUUAGCUAGUUGGUGGGGUAAAGGCCUACCAAGGCGACGAUCCAUAGCUGGUCUGAGAAGAUGAUCAGCCACAUUGGGACUGAGACACGGCCCAAACUCCUACGGGAGGCAGCAGUGGGGAAUAUUGGACAAUGGGCGCAAGCCUGAUCCAGCCAUGCCGCGUGAGUGAUGAAGGCCCUAGGGUUGUAAAGCUCUUUCACCGGAGAAGAUAAUGACGGUAUCCGGAGAAGAAGCCCCGGCUAACUUCGUGCCAGCAGCCGCGGUAAUACGAAGGGGGCUAGCGUUGUUCGGAUUUACUGGGCGUAAAGCGCACGUAGGCGGAUCGAUCAGUCAGGGGUGAAAUCCCAGAGCUCAACUCUGGAACUGCCUUUGAUACUGUCGAUCUGGAGUAUGGAAGAGGUGAGUGGAAUUCCGAGUGUAGAGGUGAAAUUCGUAGAUAUUCGGAGGAACACCAGUGGCGAAGGCGGCUCACUGGUCCAUUACUGACGCUGAGGUGCGAAAGCGUGGGGAGCAAACAGGAUUAGAUACCCUAGUAGUCC